GCCUGGGUGGUUCAGUCGGUUAAGCGUCUGACUUUGGCUCAGGUCAUGAUCUUGUGGUUCGUGAGUUCGAGCCCCACGUCAGGCU
rnacentral:tRNA from 1 species